rnacentral:lncRNA from 1 species
AGUCUACAGGAUUGCAGAAGAUGCCCCUGGUCAGAUACAAAAAGAAAAAUUACUGUCAUGUGAUGUGUGAUCCAUGAUACCGUCAUAGUUUUGUUUUGCUGUGCUCCACCUUCAUACCUUCGCCUAUGUUAGAACUUCUGAGAAGCUGAAGCAUCACAUAUAAAAAGCCAAGACCAUCCUCAAGGAGUUUAAUGAAUGUGGCAUCACAAGAAAAAUAUGCAUCAACAUUGAAAAGCAAAGCCUUCCAGCCAGUUCAAUGGUGGGAGUCUCCCCCUGCUCUUCCUGCACAAUCAUUUCCCAUUGAGGAAGAAUGUGAAAAUGACGCACAGGUGAGGGAGGCAUACUAUAAGACCGCUUCUUACCUUUCGUUUCCUGGAGCCAAUAUGAAUGAAGACCCAGAGAGAGGAGAAGGGAAAGAGAAGCUGCCAAAAACAGACAAUGGGAGAAAAGAAGUGAGCACCAAGAGCAUCCUGGGAUGAAAAUGAGGAAGGCUGGAGAUUUGUCAUUGUCAGUGUUGUCAUUUUCUGUCGUAUUUUAAAUCUGAGAGCUUUUAUGGUAGGAGUAUAUGUGCUGUUUUAUAAUAGCUUAGAGAAAAUUUUUCAUUGGAUGUUUUAGUCCAUUCAUUCCUUAGCACUUACAAAAGUCACAGGCAAAAAUCAAACGUGCAAGCAAAUCCCAAACUCUCUACAUGUAAAGUGGUGAAUUCUAAUUAUUUUUCAAAUUUGUUCAGUUGUUAUAGUUAUGCCAUUGCUGUGUAUUUGUAUUUAUCUUUUUUAUUAAAUACAUAUUCACUAAUCUGCCUGAUUUGUGAUUGUUUUAUUUAGUUUUCUUUACUCCUUGUUUGUACUUUGGGCCUGAGGUUUUAGAAGAUGAUCUGACAAAAGUGUAUUUCAAUCUGGGAGAAGUGAUCAUUGCUCAAUAACCAUGAUUGAUCAUUGAUCAUUAACCAUGGAUUAGCCAUGGGAUGAUUUGUCCUAGAGGAUGAGGUUUUAGCCCCUGUCAUUGUCACUCUAUCUUAUGUGGGGCUUAGAAUCUCAUCAAAUUUUUCUUUGAUGCUUCUUGGCUACCAUUAUCCAUUUGCUCAGAAUGUGUCA